ACGUAGGGGGCGAGCGUUAUCCGGAUUUACUGGGCGUAAAGCGCGUUAAGGCGGCCGACAAAGUUGGUGGUGAAAUUUCAGGGCUCAACUCUGAAACUGCCUCCAAUACUGGUCGGCUUGAGUGCGAGAGAGGAAGGUGGAAUUCCCGGUGUAGUAGUGAAAUGCGUAGAUAUCGGGAGGAACACCAGUGGCGAAGGCGGCCUUCUGGCUCGCAACUGACGCUGUAGCGCGAAAGCGUGGGGAGCGAACGGGAUUAGAUACCCCGGUAGUCCACGCCCUAAACGAUGUGCACUAGGUGUUGGGCGUAUUGACGCGCUCAGUGCCGCAGCUAACGCAUUAAGUGCACCGCCUGGGGAGUACGGUCGCAAGAUUA
rnacentral:rRNA from 1 species